rnacentral:rRNA from 1 species
UACGUAGGGGGCAAGCGUUGUCCGGAAUUAUUGGGCGUAAAGAGCUCGUAGGCGGUUUGUCGCGUCUGCUGUGAAAACUCGGGGCUUAACCCCGGGCCUGCAGUGGGUACGGGCAGACUAGAGUGCGGUAGGGGAGACUGGAAUUCCCGGUGUAGCGGUGAAAUGCGCAGAUAUCAGGAGGAACACCGGUGGCGAAGGCGGGUCGCUGGGCCGUAACUGACGCUGAGGAGCGAAAGCGUGGGGAGCGAACAGG